rnacentral:rRNA from 1 species
AGAGUUUGAUCCUGGCUCAGGAUGAACGCUAGCGACAGGCUUAACACAUGCAAGUCGAGGGGUAACAUGAGGUAGCAAUACUGAGAUGACGACCGGCGCACGGGUGAGUAACGCGUAUGCAACCUACCUAUCAGAGGGGAAUAACCCGGCGAAAGUCGGACUAAUACCGCAUAAAACAGGGGUCCCGCAUGGGAAUAUUUGUUAAAGAUUAAUUGCUGAUAGAUGGGCAUGCGUUCCAUUAGAUAGUUGGUAAGGUAACGGCUUACCAAGUCUGCGAUGGAUAGGGGUUCUGAGAGGAAGGUCCCCCACACUGGUACUGAGACACGGACCAGACUCCUACGGGAGGCAGCAGUGAGGAAUAUUGGUCAAUGGGGGAGAGCCUGAACCAGCCAAGUCGCGUGAAGGAUGAAGGAUCUAUGGUUCGUAAACUUCUUUUAUAAGGGAAUAAAGUGCGGGACGUGUCCUGUUUUGUAUGUACCUUAUGAAUAAGGAUCGGCUAACUCCGUGCCAGCAGCCGCGGUAAUACGGAGGAUCCGAGCGUUAUCCGGAUUUAUUGGGUUUAAAGGGUGCGUAGGUGGUUUAUUAAGUCAGCGGUGAAAGUUUGUGGCUCAACCAUAAAAUUGCCGUUG